UACGGGGGGGGCAAGCGUUGUUCGGAAUUACUGGGCGUAAAGGGCUCGUAGGCGGCCAACUAAGUCCGACGUGAAAUCCCCAGGCUUAACCUGGGAACUGCGUCGGAUACUGGAUGGCUUGAAUCCGGGAGAGGGAUGCGGAAUUCCAGGUGUAGCGGUGAAAUGCGUAGAGAUCGGGAGGAACACCAGUGGCGAAGGCGGCGACCUGGGACAAUACUGACGCUGAGGUGCGAAAGCGUGGGGAGCAAACAGG
rnacentral:rRNA from 1 species